rnacentral:tRNA from 1 species
AGAAAGAUAAGCUAAAGUUAAGCUAAUAGGUUCAUACCCUAUUUAUGGUGAUUCCUCUUUCUA